GUGGGUGGGAGGGAGGCUGGACCACUUUGGGCCUCAGCUCUCGGGAGGAGGUAGCAGCAGCUGCCUUCCUGCCCCCAUGCUAAGCACGGCUCCUGUUUCUCACCUGGUGGGAGUCAUAGUGAGCAAAACAGAGGAGGGAGAUACUCUGAGUUCCUUUUCUUGCAAAUGGGACGCCAGGACGUGGGAGUAAAUCAUCCAGGCCUCGUGCUAGAGCAGAGCAAACGCUGGCUGUUCUGCUUUGGAUUCUGCAACCCUCCUCUCCUUGCUUCUAGAAUCUUCUGGUACUCACAUUAAGAUGUACGAUGAAAUCACAUCCAUCUGGACAGUACCAAUGUCACCAGAACAUGAUCUGGGAUAUAGGAGGAUCUCAAACUUGACUUCAAGUUGGCAUCAGGCUGGAGUACAAUGGCGAGAUCUUGUCUCACUGCAACCUCCGCCUCUCAGGUUUAAGUGACUCUACUGCCUCAGCCUCCCGAGUAGCUGGGAUUACAGCUGGGAAGCCAAUGCAGGCCGGACAUGGUGGCCCAUGCAUGUCAUCCCAGCACUUUGGGAGGCCAAGGCAAGAAGACCACCUGCGGCCAGGAGUUUGAGACCAGCCUGGACUACAUGGUGAAACCCUAUCUCUACUAAAAAUACGAAAAUAAGCCUGGCAUGGUAGUUCACGCCUAUAAUCCCAGCACGUUGGGAGGCCGAGAUGGGCGGAUAACCUGAGGUUGGGAGUUCAAGACCAGCCUGACCAACAUGGAGAAACCCAGUCUCUACUAA
rnacentral:lncRNA from 13 species